UACGUAGGGGGCAAGCGUUGUUCGGAAUUACUGGGCGUAAAGGGCGCGUAGGCGGCCCGAGCAAGUCGGGAGUGAAAGCCCGGGGCUCAACCCCGGAACGGCUCACGAAACUGCGGGGCUCGAGUGCGGAAGAGGCAAUCGGAAUUCCCAGUGUAGCGGUGAAAUGCGUAGAUAUUGGGAAGAACACCGGAGGCGAAGGCGGAUUGCUGGGCCGACACUGACGCUGAGGCGCGAAAGCCAGGGGAGCAAACGGG
rnacentral:rRNA from 1 species